rnacentral:snRNA from 1 species
GUGCUCGCUUUGGUAGCACAUAUACUAACACUGGAACGAUACAGAGAAGAGUAGCAUGAUCCCUGUGCAAGGAUGACACGCAAAUUUGUGAAGCAUUCCAUAUGUUU